GACGAACCGUGCGAACGUUGUUCGGAAUCACUGGGCUUAAAGGGCGCGUAGGCGGGCUGCCAAGUCAGGGGUGAAAGCCCACGGCUCAACCGUGGAAGUGCCUUUGAUACUGGUAGUCUGGAGGGAGGUAGGGGCGUGCGGAACUUCCGGUGGAGCGGUGAAAUGCGUAGAUAUCGGAAGGAACACCGGUGGCGAAAGCGGCGCGCUGGACCUCUUCUGACGCUGAGGCGCGAAAGCUAAGGGGAGCAAACGGGGAUUAAGAAACCCCG
rnacentral:rRNA from 1 species